GACGAACGCUGGCGGCGUGCCUAAUACAUGCAAGUUGAGCGCUGAAGGUUGGUACUUGUACCAACUGGAUGAGCAGCGAACGGGUGAGUAACGCGUGGGGAAUCUGCCUUUGAGCGGGGGACAACAUUUGGAAACGAAUGCUAAUACCGCAUAAAAACUUUAAACACAAGUUUUAAGUUUGAAAGAUGCAAUUGCAUCACUCAAAGAUGAUCCCGCGUUGUAUUAGCUAGUUGGUGAGGUAAAGGCUCACCAAGGCGAUGAUACAUAGCCGACCUGAGAGGGUGAUCGGCCACAUUGGGACUGAGACACGGCCCAAACUCCUACGGGAGGCAGCAGUAGGGAAUCUUCGGCAAUGGACGAAAGUCUGACCGAGCAACGCCGCGUGAGUGAAGAAGGUUAUCGGAUCGUAAAACUCUGUUGGUAGAGAAGAACGUUGGUGAGAGUGGAAAGCUCAUCAAGUGACGGUAACUACCCAGAAAGGGACGGCUAACUACGUG
rnacentral:rRNA from 1 species